CCUACGGGAGGCAGCAGUGAGGAAUAUUGGUCAAUGGGCGCGAGCCUGAACCAGCCAAGUAGCGUGAAGGAUGACUGCCCUACGGGUUGUAAACUUCUUUUAUAAAGGAAUAAAGUGAGGCACGUGUGCCUUUUUGUAUGUACUUUAUGAAUAAGGAUCGGCUAACUCCGUGCCAGCAGCCGCGGUAAUACGGGGGAUCCGAGCGUUAUCCGGAUUUAUUGGGUUUAAAGGGGGCGCAGGCGGAGGUGCAAGUCAGCGGUCAAAUUGAGGGGCUCAACCCCGGACUGUCGUUGAAACUGGAUACCUUGAGUGAGCGAGAGGUAGGCGGAAUGCGUGGUGUAGCGGUGAAAGGCAUAGAUAUCACGCAGAACUCCGAUUGCGAAGGCAGCAUACCGGCGCGCAACUGACGCUGAUGCACGAAAGCGUGGGUAUCGAACAGGAUUAGAUACCCCUGUAGUC
rnacentral:rRNA from 1 species